UGAUAAUGGUGAGGGUAAUUUCUAAGAAUCCCCUUAAAUCUUUCCUAGCUUGGUAAAUUUUUUAUCUUUUUUUCUGCCUAAAACUCUAAAUCUCACUUCUUAAAUA
rfam:Capsicum annuum cultivar Zunla-1 chromosome 3, whole genome shotgun sequence